AUUGAACGCUGGCGGCAGGCCUAACACAUGCAAGUCGAACGGUAGCACAGAGAGCUUGCUCUCGGGUGACGAGUGGCGGACGGGUGAGUAACGUCUGGGAAACUGCCCGAUGGAGGGGGAUAACUACUGGAAACGGUAGCUAAUACCGCAUAACGUCGCAAGACCAAAGUGGGGGACCUUCGGGCCUCACACCAUCGGAUGUGCCCAGAUGGGAUUAGCUAGUAGGUGGGGUAAUGGCUCACCUAGGCGACGAUCCCUAGCUGGUCUGAGAGGAUGACCAGCCAAACUGGAACGGAGACACGGUCCAGACUCCUACGGGAGGCAGCAGUGGGGAAUAUUGCACAAUGGGCGCAAGCCUGAUGCAGCCAUGCCGCGUGUAUGAAGAAGGCCUUCGGGUUGUAGAGUACUUUCAGCGGGGAGGAAGGCGGUGAAGUUAAUAGCUUCACCGAUUGACGUUACCCGCAGAAGAAGCACCGGCUAACUCCGUGCCAGCAGCCGCCGUAA
rnacentral:rRNA from 1 species